CCCAGCCCAUGCCCAGGCUUUAUUUAUCCCAGUGCAGCUGGCCUCCAGGGGCUUUUUGAUCCUUAAUCAUGAACCUGGGAGCCCUUUGCGUUCUCUCAAGCAGUCAAGCCAAGAAGGCUUUCUGAUUCCAAUGGCAAUAACCACGCGUGAUUUAUGGACUCUCAGGACCUGGAACAUCAGAGCUGGAGAGAGAGCACUGUGAUACCUCCUGGGACAAACAGACAUGAGGAGAGUGUCCUGCCCUCAACAGCCAAGAGCUUCCCCUUCACUAGAAAGGAGUGGUUGAGAGUCUGCCUGCCAAUGCAGGGGACGCGGGUUCGAGCCCUGGUCUGGGAAGAUCCCACAUGCCGCGGAGCGGCUGGGCCCGUGAGCCACAAUUGCUGAGCCUGCGCGUCUGGAGCCUGUGCUCCGCAACAAGAGAGGCCGCGAUAGUGAGAGGCCCGCGCACCGCGAUGAAGAGUGGCCCCCGCUUGCCGCAACUAGAGAAAGCCCUCGCACAGAAACGAAGACCCAACACAGCCAUGAAU